UACGUAGGGUGCGAGCGUUAAUCGGAAUUACUGGGCGUAAAGCGUGCGCAGGCGGUCUGUUAAGACCGAUGUGAAAUCCCCGGGCUUAACCUGGGAACUGCAUUGGUGACUGGCAGGCUUUGAGUGUGGCAGAGGGAGGUAGAAUUCCACGUGUAGCAGUGAAAUGCGUAGAGAAUGUGGAGGAAUACCGAUGGCGAAAGGCCAAUCCCCUGGGCCUGCACUGACGCUC
rnacentral:rRNA from 1 species